GAUUGAGAUGUUUAAGAAAAUAUGUUUCUGUCUUGUACCAUUUUAUGGACUAUUUCUUCUAAGCUGCACUUGCUGCUAUCACAGUAAUUUGAACAUACACGGAGCCAGCCAUGAAAGCAGUACUGCUAUUGCUGUCAGGUAGGCUUAUUUGUUCCCAGUCCUCCUCAGCCCCAGACAUCUGGUCCUCUUCUCACCCCCACAACUUCUCUCACACUACUGCUUAAAAUGGACAAAUUUCAGAUCCCUCGCAUCACAGGAAGCUCUCUAAUAUACCUCCCCCAAGCCCCACAUUUUAAAGCUUUGGCAUUUAAGUCCUACAGCUGCACAAGAUGCCCCCUGCUGAUCAUUUCUUAAUAUUGCUACUGCUAAAUGAGAAUAAGCAACAGCAGGCAACAACCCCAAAUCAAAUUACAGGCAAGUACUAAUUAGCUGCGUAAUUGUCAAAGGAAAAACAUACAGUCUGCGCUCUGGGUGAGGAGUUAAGCUUUAGUCACACUAAAUCACUCUAAUUUCCUAUUGCGUGGGGUGUGGUUUGCAGAAGGGUGAAUAAAACCCUGCCAACUCAGCUGUUGAGCGUUUGCUAGCUUCCUAGUUAGAUUUAACCACUCACUACAAGACCGAUAUUAGGAGGUCAGAACUAAAGAUUAUAAACACCUAUUUUGAAUUAAUUCUCUUAUUAUGAAGGCAACAAAGAAGUCUCUGCUUUCUUGUAACUUUCUAAUAUCCGUUUACCACAGUGUAAUCAACUAACUGGUAUAUGUGUACCAUUUCUGGUCUACAGGAGAUUAAAAGCUCCGUUACAAGGGACUGUUAAUGGCGAUUCUCAGAAUGCUUGUAAGAAUUGUUCACCUACUGGGUCACCAAUGAAGACCAGAGUUUUCUCCACUACUUUAUUCCUGAUGAUGAGAGAACUUGCUCUGCCUUGUUGUACAGUGUAUCUUGAAGACGUUUCAAUUCCAAUUUUAAGAGGUUAUCUUCAAUCAUCAAAUCCUAUCAAAUGCCAAAAAAGAGAAAUAGUACAAAAUUAAAAGGAAUUUAGUGGUGUCUGAAGACUGUUGAGUGGAUGAGUCUUUUUCUAUGGCAAAUGUCUUCAAUUUGAAUAAUGCCAGUAUAUGGUCCUGGCAUUAAGAAGAACCAAGGCAAUUAAGUUUCCACAAACCUAAAAAAGCAAAAUUGUCUUAAACUGAGAGCCAAAUUUGGAUACUCUUACUCCAUGAGUGGUGCCAAUUGACUGAGAUGGGACUUCCCAACAUGACAGGGAAUGGCAGAACCUGGUCUGGUACAGCCAGGAGGAGGAUCUGGCCAUUUUGAGCACCAUAGAGAGUCAACAAAAAGGAAGAAAGCCAACUGAAGGAAUAAAAGUUAGUCUAAUGACUUGAAAAAAAGAAAAGACAUAGAAACCAUCUCAUUUUCCAGCCGUUGAAUCUCUUUUUUGAGUCGUCCAAGCUCUCUCUCAGCAAGGGCUUUAAAGUGCUCUUCGGUUUCGAUUUCAUUCUCUCUGGCUCUGUGAAGAGACUAUAGAAUAAUAUAGUUCAUUAUUUUGCAUGGAAUCGUUAACUGGCAUAUAACACCCAAUAUUAUUUUAAUUAUUUCACCAAAAUCAGAACUCUACUAAAGGUAACACUGAUAUAAAAUGAGGAAAUUUACAUCUCGGGAUUUUACAGAACUAAAAUAAAAAUGCCUAUGGAGGCUUUUGAAAUUCA